GACGAGGGGGCGAGCGUUGUCCGGAAUUACUGGGCGUAAAGCGCGUGCAGGCGGCCUGGUAAGUCCCGUGUAAAAGCCCUACGGCUCAACCGUAGGAGCCGCGGGAGUACUGUCGGGCUAGAGGGCAGGAGAGGGAAGUGGAAUUCCCGGUGUAGCGGUGAAAUGCGUAGAUAUCGGGAGGAACGCCAGUGGCGAAGGCGGCUUCCUGGCCUGUCCCUGACGCUGAGACGCGAAAGCUGGGGGAGC
rnacentral:rRNA from 1 species